AUUGAACGCUGGCGGCAGGCUUAACACAUGCAAGUCGAGCGGAGAUGAGGUGCUUGCACCUUAUCUUAGCGGCGGACGGGUGAGUAAUGCUUAGGAAUCUGCCUAUUAGUGGGGGACAACAUUCCGAAAGGAAUGCUAAUACCGCAUACACCCUACGGGGGAAAGCAGGGGAUCUUCGGACCUUGCGCUAAUAGAUGAGCCUAAGUCGGAUUAGCUAGUUGGUGGGGUAAAGGCCUACCAAGGCGACGAUCUGUAGCGGGUCUGAGAGGAUGAUCCGCCACACUGGGAAUGAUCCACUGCCCAUACUCCCACGGGAGGCAGCAGUGGGGAAUAUUGGACAAUGGGCGGAAGCCUGAUCCAGCCAUGCCGCGUGUGUGAAGAAGGCCUUUUGGUUGUAAAGCACUUUAAGCGAGGAGGAGGCUACCUGGAUUAAUACUCUAGGAUAGUGGACGUUACUCGCAGAAUAAGCACCGGCUAACUCUGUGCCAGCCGCCGCCGUAAAAC
rnacentral:rRNA from 1 species